CUCUCUCUCUCUCUCUCUAUUUUUUGUUCAUGUAAUGGCAAGCCAGCCCCCUAAGUACCCUGAAUCAGUCUAUGACUUCACUAUCAAGGAUGCUAAUGGAAAUGAUGUAGAUCUUAGCAUUUUCAAGGGAAAAGUCUUAUUAAUUGUUAAUGUUGCUUCUAAAUGUGGAUUGACCAACUCAAAUUACACAGAGCUGAAUCAGUUAUAUGAGAAGUGCAAAGACCAAGGCCUUGAAAUAUUGGCAUUUCCAUG
rnacentral:misc_RNA from 1 species